CUGGGGGUAAUCUCAGGUGCUCCGGAAGGGUAAGCAGAUCCUGCUCCACAUGUGGCACCUGUAAAUGUUAUUGUUUGUUUAUGUGUCCACUGGGUUGAUACAUGUAAUUGUUUCUUUUUCUUCUUUUUUUUUUUGUUCUUUUCAAUAGAAAACAUUUUGAGAGUGGCUAUUUGUGGGUUUUUAAACUGGCAUUCAUCAUUUUUUACAAUCAGUACACCCCCUCACCCACCCUAGCCUAAUAAAUCGCAAAUUAAACAUACCAGUAUACUUUAAAGAAAUUCGUUAAAAUAAAGUGAGGAUAAUUUAAAACAUGGAUAAUUAUACUUCUCUUUUUCUGAUUAGAAAUAAAUAUUUGUAUCCCCUUCAAUGAAUGUUAUGAAGUGUGCAUGUACUGGAUGGAUCUAAAUCCAUAACUGAGUAAGUGUGUUUGUUUACGGAAAUCCCAAACUUAAGACGUGUUAUGAGUUUGAAUUUUCC
rnacentral:lncRNA from 1 species